CCCUCUCCUUUUAAUCUUCUCCGUAUCUCCAUGUCCUAAAGCAAGAAUGAUAAGUAGGUUAUAAUUUUAAUCCUUGAUUUCUUUGGAUACACAUGAAUCCAUAUAUAAAUGAUUGAAUGUGCAAAUCCGGAUUGCAACAAUUAUUAUAGUCGUCCAUCCAAAGUUCCUCUGUUUUGCAUCUCCCCUUGUUAAAAUCAAGAAGAGGGAUAUAGCAUCUUUUUGUAUCAACCAUUUGGCAUCUGCUAUGGUUGGAGUUUUGGAAGAUCGCUUGGCUAGUUUCCUUACCAUCGAAUAUCCUUGCACAGAAGGAGAAGCAAGGGAUUUUUAUUUUGGUAAAGUUGAACACUACAUUCAUAAUAAGAAGUAAAUCACAAUGCUAACCGUGCUGCUAGA
rnacentral:lncRNA from 1 species